CAAUAGCGUAUAUUAACGUUGUUGCAGUUAAAAAGCUCGUAGUUGGAUUUCUGUUGAGGUCGAACAGUGCCGCCCUAUGGGUGCGCAACUGGCUCGGCUUCGGCAUCUUCUUGGAGAGCGCAUCUGCACUUAACUGUGUGGAUCGUACUUCAAGUCAGUUACUUUGAGGAAUUGUGAGUGUUUCAAGCAGGCUUACGCCGUUGAAUCCGUUAGCAUGGAAUAAUAGGAUAGGACCUCGGUUCUAUUUUGUUGGUUUUGAGAGCUGGGGCAGCGAUUGAUAGGGACGGAUGGGGGCGUCCGAACUUUACUGUCAGAGGUGAAAUUCUUAGAUCGGUCAAAGGCGAACUACUGCGAACGCAUUCGCCAAGAAUGUUUUCUUUAA
rnacentral:rRNA from 1 species